CCGCGCCCGUUGGGUGAAGGCUAAGGCCUCCAUCCCUGCGCGCUGAAUCUGGUCUUGCCGCUGCCAUAUCUGGCACCGCCACGCGCACAACGGAAACCAUCAGGAACGACUGAACAGGUCCGGCGCAGUCUCUCGGCUGAGAAAUCGGCUGGGCGAUGUAGAUAGCAAGACAGGUCG
ncrna:Pseudomonas aeruginosa MTB-1 RT-15 RNA